GCCCCCGCCCCCGCCGAGGCCCGGGGGUGGGAGGCCUCCGCUCCCCCCUGGCGCCCGGGAGGUGGAGGAGGGCUCCUGAACACGCAGCCACGUGUAGCCAGCUCCAGGUCUCUUCUCCCUGCAGGGCUGCCUGCCUUACUUGCUGUGGCUUCACGCCAUGCCGGGCAAGGAUCACACCUUGUCUUGUCCAGAGAGCAAGGGAGUGUUACUAGCUUCGUGUUUGAAAAGAUGUCAAGAAGAAACUAAGAAAGUGUAGAAGACUCAGAAAAACCCCCACUGGGGAGGCUGCCUUUUACUAACACCAACUCAGUAAACACCAGUUUGUACACCAUUCCGUUUAAACUUGACAAUGGCCCCAAGACACAGAGACACAGAGAGAGGCAGAGACAUAGGCUGAGGGAGAAGCAGGCUCCAUGCAGGGAGCCCGACGUGGGACUCCAUCCCGGGUCUCCAGGAUCACACCCUGGGCUGAAGGCGGCGCUAAACUGCUGGGCCACCGGCGGUGCCCGUAUUCUGUCCUUUUAAAGGCCAUCCAGCUGGCAGCUGGUCUGCACCUGUGCCACCAGGCCCUGCGCCUGGGCGUGCGGAGACGGCCCCUGCCCUCCGCUCGCUCUCAGCCUCAGUGUGUGGGGUGUGCUCAGGAGAACACAGGCAGGCUUGGACUGGACUGCAGGGGCACUGGGACAGGAGGGACCCCCAACCCUUGACUUUGCAGGCAGAAGGAAUGUCAGCCUUUACUCGUGCUGCCAGGAACAUGCUUCUCACCUCCCCAGCCUCUGCUGGCUGACUCUUUUAUCCUGUCCAUUUACCCUGUGGGUCUCGGAUGAAACGGAUGAAACGUCCCUUCCUCGGGGAAGCAUCCCUGACCUCCAGGUGGCAACCCGUUUACUCCCGCCUAAACCAACACUUACCACGCAGCAUUGUUGUCAUCUGUUUGCUCAUGUUCCACCGGGGACCACAAGCUCUGUGCAGACAGGAAUUCCAUCCAUAUGAUCUAUCUGUGUCCCUCCAGGCCAGAAAUGGCAUUGGGCAUACAGUAGGUGCUUUUCAGAGGCUUGCCGGGUACACUAAACACGGCUAGAAAAGAGGAUACUGGGGCAUAGUGACACGAAGUGAAAGCAAAGAGGUGAGCAGGAGCAGAGCGGAAGGGUCCUCACGGGCCACCCUGAGGGGGACAGCACAGAGGCAAGAUGGGGAGACCACGCGGGAGGAGAGAAGCACGUCAGGGAGAGCCCUCGUGGAGCAGAGUCGCUGAGUGACAGCACAAAUGUCCCCAAGCCGCUCACUGGACCCACAGCCAGAGUUAGCUCACCCCCAUUUGGAUGGAUUUCCUCAAAGGAGAGAGGAACCCCUCGCCGGCCAGAGCCAGCCUGAAUUCUCUUGUGACAACAAGAUAGCAGAGUCAGAGGGAGGUGGUUUACUACUCUGUGUUGGCCCCUCCUUCAGCAGCAUAUGACUUGAGGAGUGUUUGAAACAUCUCAUUGUUUGAAACAAAUGAGAAGCUUCUGGAGACCCAUAACAAAGAGGCCAAGGCUGCCUCAAGGUUGGAACGGGCAUCUCCCUCAGGGGCUUUCCCCUGGGUCAGGGGCUGCCCUCAGCUGCCAGAGCUCACUUCACCUGUGUGCGGGGAGUGCCUGGAAGUCCCAACCCCUCAGGGCAGCCCUUAGCCAGUUGCAGGAGAGCAGACACUCCAUCCUCUGUCCUCAGAGACCCGCUGCAGGACUUGCGUGCGUCAUAUGCCGUCUUUGCUCAGCCUCCUUCCUUGGCUGUCCCACGCCUCAGGCCUGGUCAGAACUCACCUGCGCCGGAGUCCUCAUCUCCAGGCUCCAUCUGGGGAACACAGCCCAUGGCAGUGGGCUAAACCUCACCGUGUUCCUAGACCUCAAGGCAGAAGCAAGUACUCUGCUGCAAGAGGUAAAAGCCCUGCGUGCCUUAACCCAGCUGUACUGCCAUCAAAACCGUGGUCAUCAUGGGUAGAGGGGAGGGGUAACUGCAUGAUGGGCAUUAAGGAGGCACCUGAGGGAACAAGCACUGGUGUUAUAUGUAACUGAUGAAUCACCAAACUCUGCCCUGAAACUAAUAAUACACUACAUGUUAAGUAACUUGAAUUAAAAAAAAAAAAAAGUGAUUAUUGGAGGUGAGGACACACACUAAGAACAAUUUCUAACCCAAAUGGGGCAUUUUCAA